GUUUAUAUAAUUUAAAUAAAAUAUUAGACUGUGACUNUAAUUA
rnacentral:tRNA from 1 species